rnacentral:rRNA from 1 species
GCUUAGAAGCAGCCACUCAUUAAAAGAGUGCGUAAUAGCUCACUGGUCGAGUGACUCUGCGCCGAAAAUUUAACGGGGCUAAACUAUACACCGAAGCUUGGGAUACAUCUAAUGUAUGGUAGGAGAGCGUUCUGUAUGGGGAGAAGUCGUAGCGAAAGCGGCGGUGGACUAUACAGAAGUGAGAAUGCCGGAAUAAGUAGCGAGAAUUAAGUGAGAAUCUUAAUGGCCGAAAGUCUAAGGUUUUUGGAGGAAGGUUCGUCCGCUCCAAGUAAGUCGGGAGCUAAGGUCAGGCCGAAAGGCGUAGCCGAUGCACAUACGGUUGAUAUUCCGUAACCAUCUGUAAUUUAAGCAAAGGGACACUUCAAAAGGGUGUGACCCGGGCGUUGGUUGACCCGGGCGUAAGGGACCGAAAUUAGAGUAGGGAAGCACACUUAGCUGAAGGCGAGAAAAGCUUUGCGUAUAGAAGCAGAUGCCCGUACCGCAAACCGACACAGGUGGACAGGAAGAGAAUUCUAAGGCCAGCGGGAGAAGGGUAGUUAAGGAACUCGGCAAAUUGACUCCGUAACUUCGGAAUAAGGAGUGCUCGAAAGAGCCGCAGAGAAUAGGCCCAGGCGACUGUUUAGCAAAAACACAGGUCUCUGCCAAAUCGAAAGAUGAAGUAUAGGGGCUGACACCUGCCCGGUGCCGGAAGGUUAAGAGGAGGAGUGAGAGCUCCGAAUUGAAGCCCCGGUAAACGGCGGCCGUAACUAUAACGGUCCUAAGGUAGCGAAAUUCCUUGUCGGGUAAGUUCCGACCCGCACGAAUGGUGUAACGAUCUGGGCACUGUCUCAACUACCCACCCGGCGAAAUUGUAGUACCGGUGAAGAUGCCGGUUACCUGCGGCAAGACGGAAAGACCCCAUGGAGCUUUACUGUAGCCUGAUAUUGGGUUUCGGAAAUCUAUGUACAGGAUAGGCGGGAGACUGGGAAACAUGAGCGUCAGCUUGUGUGGAGUCGAUGUUGGGAUACCGCCCUUAGGUUUCUGGAAUUCUAACCUGCGGCCGUGAAUCCGGUCGGGGGACAUUGUCAGGUGGGCAGUUUGACUGGGGCGGUCGCCUCCGAAAAGGUAACGGAGGCGCUCAAAGGUUAGCUCAGCACGGACGGAAACCGUGCCUCUGAGUGUAAACGCAAAAGCUAGCCUAACUGCGAGGGUGACGGCCCGAGCAGUAACGAAAGUUGGAGUUAGUGAUCCGGCGGUAUGUGAAUGGAAAUGCCGUCGCUCAACGGAUAAAAGCUACCCUGGGGAUAACAGGCUGAUCUCCCCCAAGAGUCCACAUCGACGGGGAGGUUUGGCACCUCGAUGUCGGCUCAUCGCAUCCUGGGGCUGUAUUCGGUCCCAAGGGUUUGGCUGUUCGCCAAUUAAAGCGGUACGCGAGCUGGGUUCAGAACGUCGUGAGACAGUUCGGUCCCUAUCUGUCGUGGGCGCAGGAUAUUUGAGGAGCUCUGUCCUUAGUACGAGAGGACCGGGAUGGACGUACCUCUGGUGCACCAGUUGUCAUGCCAAUGGCACGGCUGGGCAGCUAUGUACGGAACGGAUAAACGCUGAAAGCAUCUAAGCGUGAAGCCGACUCCAAGAUUAGAUAUCCCAUCGUAUAACGAGUAAGACCCCUUGAAGACUACGAGGUUGAUAGGCUGCGUGUGUAAGUGCCGUGAGGCAUUCAGCUUGGCAGUACUAAUAGGUCGAGGGCUUGACCA